rnacentral:miRNA from 1 species
AAUACAAGAUGCUCAGUUAAUUUAGAAUUGCAGAUGAAUGUUGAACAUUUUUUAUUAUAAGUAUAUCCUAUCCAAUAUUUGGGACAUACUUAUAUUAAAAAUUACUUGUUAUUCAUCUGAAAUUCAAAUUAACUAGGCAUCUUAUAUUUU